rnacentral:rRNA from 3 species
GAGUUCCCUUCGGGGACAUUGGUGACAGGUGGUGCAUGGUUGUCGUCAGCUCGUGUCGUGAGAUGUUGGGUUAAGUCCCGCAACGAGCGCAACCCUUGUCUUUAGUUGCCAUCAUUAAGUUGGGCACUCUAGAGAGACUGCCAGGGAUAACCUGGAGGAAGGUGGGGAUGACGUCAAAUCAUCAUGCCCCUUAUGCUUAGGGCUACACACGUGCUACAAUGGGUAGUACAGAGGGUUGCCAAGCCGUAAGGUGGAGCUAAUCCCUUAAAGCUACUCUCAGUUCGGAUUGUAGGCUGAAACUCGCCUACAUGAAGCUGGAGUUACUAGUAAUCGCAGAUCAGAAUGCUGCGGUGAAUGCGUUCCCGGGUCUUGUACACACCGCCCGUCACACCACGGGAGUUGGAGACGCCCGAAGCCGAUUAUCUAACCUUUUGGAAGAAGUCGUCGAAGGUGGAAUCAAUAACUGGGGUGAAGUCGUAACAAGGUAGCCGUAUCGGAAGGUGCGGCUGGAUCACCUCCUUU